CCUACGGGCGGCUGCAGUGGGGAAUUUUGGACAAUGGGGGCAACCCUGAUCCAGCCAUGCCGCGUGCGGGAAGAAGGCCUUCGGGUUGUAAACCGCUUUUGUCAGGGAAGAAAUAUUCCGAGCUAAUAACCUGGGAGGAUGACGGUACCUGAAGAAUAAGCACCGGCUAACUACGUGCCAGCAGCCGCGGUAAUACGUAGGGUGCAAGCGUUAAUCGGAGUUAGCGGGGGUGGAGCUGCAAGACAGGGUUGAAAUCCCCGGGCUUAACCUGGGAACUGCACUUGUGACUGUACGGCUGGAGUACGGCAGAGGGGGAUGGAAUUCCGCGUGUAGCAGUGAAAUGCGUAGAUAUGCGGAGGAACACCGAUGGCGAAGGCAGUCCCCUGGGCCUGUACUGACGCUCAUGCACGAAAGCGUGGGGAGCAAACAGGAUUAGAUACCCCGGUAGUC
rnacentral:rRNA from 1 species